CCUACUAAGUCCUUUACUAAACAAAAUUGCGGUUAUGUUUUAGUAAAUAAAUGUUUUAAUAAUAUUAUUACAGUGCACUAUAGUUUUACAAGUUCAUAUUUUAUUUAUAAUGUAUCCUCCUCAUCGUAUUUGCUAUCGUGUGAGAGAAAACGCAUUGAUGGUAAAACAUUGGCGCCAAAAUGAUGGAAAGAUUUACUCGUUUGGGAAUUUUUGCAGGAUGUUGGGAGGUUUCUAGUUCAUACAGACAGGGUCUCUGGGUUAGGAGGACAAAUCGGGUCAACGGUGGGGGCAUAAAUUCAAACACAUUUUUUGGUUACAACAUAUCAACAUGGACUGCUUCAGCGAUAAUGCGUGAGCAACUUUACUGUUUUCAUUAUUUUUUUAAAUUUUAUUUUUGGCAAAAUGUUAGUUAAAUCAUGUCAAAUGUAUCAUUUUAAAAUCAGUAAUGUUUGGUUUCAAAUUAUUUUUACAUCAAAAGUUGAGUUUAAAAAUCCCAUUCACGUUAAAACUAAUAAAUGUCAUCUUUUUUUCAGAAUAGACCAGUUUGAUUUCGAGCAGUUGCUCGACCAGUGGAGGUAAGAUUAUUUUAUAGCUCACGAUAUUAUCAUAGUUGAUUUUUAAAAACAUUCUACACCAUGUUUUAUGUUCCACACGUCGAUGUUCGAAAGGUUACAAUAUACACAGCUUUGAUCAAUGCUUGUAUUUUAUGUAAUUUUUGUAUAUUUCCAGUGACGAAUUUUAUUCUAAUGUGGCGGCCACCACCACCACCACCACCGCCACCACCACCGCAGCAAGCCACCACCACCACCGCAGCAAGCCACCACCACCACCGCCGCCUCCACCACACCAACUGCCGCCGCCACCCUCACUACUACUACUACGACAUACCCUACACUGAGGGAUCUUUUAAACCCUGCCAAAAAAACGGAUAUAGACAGAAGAGAACUGAUUGAAGACCUAAACAAUUUAAUUUUACAAAUGCAAAAAAUAAAAUAAAAACUA